rnacentral:rRNA from 1 species
AGAACGAACGCUGGCGGCAUGCCUAACACAUGCAAGUCGAACGAGACCUUCGGGUCUAGUGGCGCACGGGUGCGUAACGCGUGGGAAUCUGCCCUUGGGUUCGGAAUAACAGUUGGAAACGACUGCUAAUACCGGAUGAUGACGUAAGUCCAAAGAUUUAUCGCCCAGGGAUGAGCCCGCGUAGGAUUAGCUAGUUGGUGAGGUAAAGGCUCACCAAGGCGACGAUCCUUAGCUGGUCUGAGAGGAUGAUCAGCCACACUGGGACUGAGACACGGCCCAGACUCCUACGGGAGGCAGCAGUGGGGAAUAUUGGACAAUGGGCGAAAGCCUGAUCCAGCAAUGCCGCGUGAGUGAUGAAGGCCUUCGGGUUGUAAAGCUCUUUUACCCGGGAUGAUAAUGACAGUACCGGAGAAUAAGCUCCGGCUAACUCCGCGCCAGCAGCCGC